AACGAACGCUGGCGGCAUGCCUAACACAUGCAAGUCGAACGAGACCUUCGGGUCUAGUGGCGCACGGGUUCGUAACGCGUGGGAACCUGCCCUUAGGUUCGGAAUAACUCCCCGAAAGGGGUUCCAAUACCGGUUAAUUUCUUCCGACCAAAGACUUAUCGCCUUUGGAUGGGCCCGCGUUGUAUUAGCUAGUUGGUAGGGUAAAAGCCUACCAAGGGGAAGAUCCAUAGGUGGUCUUAGAGGGUGAUCAGGCACAAUGGGACUGAGAAACGGCCCAGGCUCAUUAGGGCGGGUGGAGUGGGGAAUAGUGGGACAUGGGGCAAAAACAGAACCCGCCAUGACCGGAAAGUGCUGAAGGCCUUAAGGGUGUCAAGGAGUUUUAACCAGGGUGAAAAUGACAAUAGCGGGAGAAUAAGCACCGGCUAACUCCGUG
rnacentral:rRNA from 1 species